UUUCUUUUCUAUUUUGUGAUUUUCAUCGACUUGUGGAUAUGCCUUUCCCUUGACUUUCUUAUUUCUUUUCUUUUAUUAUUUUAUUGUUUUUGGCCUCUUUCCCUCCUUUUAAGAACAAUCCCCUAAAUUCCCAAUCACUCCCUCGUUCUCUCUCCGCUUAAGCGCUUCUCCUACUGAAAUAUUUUCCUUUGGCUCUCAAAACCUUCGCUUCUCCGUUAAGAGAACUCUCUAAUUUAUCGUUCUGUCCCCUUCUCCUCUGCUCCGUUAUAUCUCUGUAUCUUCUUGCCUUUUGCUUUUUCUUCCACCUUCUCUGAAGCGAGCUCUGGCACUCUACGGACAUGGAUGGAGGAGGACAGUACAACCCUCGCACAGUAGAGGAGGUUUUCAGGGACUUCAAGGGCCGCAGAGCUGGCAUGAUCAAAGCCCUCACCACUGAUGUUGAAGAAUUUUAUCAGCAGUGCGAUCCUGAGAAGGAGAAUCUUUGCCUUUAUGGGUUUCCUAAUGAACAGUGGGAAGUUAACUUACCUGCCGAAGAAGUACCUCCUGAGCUCCCAGAACCUGCAUUAGGAAUCAACUUUGCCAGAGACGGCAUGCAAGAAAAGGAUUGGCUGUCUCUGGUUGCUGUUCACAGUGAUGCUUGGUUACUUGCAGUGGCAUUCUAUUUUGGUGCGAGAUUUGGUUUUGAUAAAACUGACAGGAAACGCCUCUUUACUAUGAUAAAUGAUCUGCCUACAAUAUUUGAAGUUGUGACUGGAACAACAAAGAAACAGGCGAAGGAGAAAUCAUCAGUUUCAAAUCAUAGCAGCAACAAAUCCAAGUCAGGCUCGAAAGGGCAACAGCGAGGAUCCGAAUUGGUCAAGUUCGCAAAGGGAAUGCCGGCAAAGGAUGAGGAUGACGUAGUGGAUGAGGAAGAUGAAGAAGAGCAUGGGGAGACCUUGUGUGGGGCAUGUGGGGAGAAUUAUGCUGCAGAUGAGUUCUGGAUAUGCUGCGAUAUAUGUGAGAAGUGGUUUCAUGGCAAGUGCGUGAAGAUAACCCCUGCGAGGGCUGAGCACAUCAAGCAGUACAAGUGCCCCUCGUGCAGCAACAAGAGAGCACGCCCUUGAUAUCACAGGGAGAUGCGUGAAACAUGAGGGCUGCUGUGAGUGCAAGUGGCGGUUGCCAUUUUUGUUGUCUAGGAUUACUGUGCCAUUGCUCCUUCUGGUCUCUAUCUAUAAGCAUUUUUUCUUUGGGUGCUUAGGAGGUAAUGGGCAUGCAUGCUGGUUCUUCGGAUUUUCUUCACUUCUCUGUUAUCAAGAGGAACUUCGGUGUUUUUUUUAUCUGAAGCCUACGGGCUACUGUACUCUUCUCUCUCUCACUCUCUCUCUCUCUUCAAUGACAGUAGGAAAAUUGCUUAUCCCUAGAAAUUGUACACCUAUUGAAUAUGGAAAGUGUUGGAUCUAUACAGAAAUUUACAAAAUAGAACUUACAAAAUGGUAUAGUUUAAUUUGAUACGUUAAAUUUAUUUUAUAAAAAAAAAAGCACUUUACAAGUUAACAGACCACAUGAAGGCAUGCUUGUUCAUAAGUUUACAUUUGUAGGAUUUCUUUUCUUAUUGAGCAUUGAACCUUGAAAUCUGACCCUCCUGAAAUAAGAGGAGAAAUGCCAAUAGUCUGGAUUACAAGUGUGCUGGCCUAAGAUGUUAAAGCUGUCAGGGUAUAUAACAUGAAAUCAUUAUGAUUAUUUGUUGAGUUACAGGUUUUACAUGGAUGAAGUGGAUCAAAGUUUAAAUAAAGCAUCUUGUGCUGAGAAGUAAGCAUUCAUACGGAUGACAUGGAUCGAUGUUCAAAGAUGGCAUCUCUCUCUUCUCCUUCUGAUAAGUAAUUCUGAACUGUCUAAAAAUUUCGAACCUUUAGUUUGUUGCGGAGAGGGAAAAACAAAAACAAAAUCUCAAGUUGGGGGAAUUCCUAUAAAGCUUCCCUUGUCGUUUCAAUUAAUAAUUCGAUAAGAUAAGCAUGCAAUGCAUAUGCCAUGUGAGACGAAAUAUGAUUCAUGAAAGUCGGUCACCGUAAAGGCUUUGGUAAAAGACAUUUACAAGGUUGGUUGAUGUGAACUAUUUUUGCUUAAAAUCCAUGCAAUGGCCAUGCAUUUUGCCCAA